rnacentral:rRNA from 1 species
AUUGAACGCUGGCGGCAUGCUUUACACAUGCAAGUCGAACGGUAACAGGCCGCAAGUUGCUGGCGAGUGGCGAACGUGUGAGUAAUGCAUCGGAACGUGCCCAGUCGUGGGGGAUAACUCCUCGAAAGAGUAGCUAAUACCGCAUACGAUCUAUGGAUGACAGCGGGGGACCGUACGGCCUCGCGCGAUUGUGGCGGCCGCUGGCAGAUUAGGUAGUUGGUGGGGUACAGGCUCACCAAGCCAACGAUCUGUAGCUGGUCUGAGAGGAUGACCAGCCACACUGGGACUGAGACACGGCACAGAGUCCUACGGGAGGCAGCAGUGGGGAAUUUUGGACAAUGGGCGGAAGCCUGAUCCAGCAAUGCCGCGUGCAGGAAGAAGGCCUUCGGGUUGUAAACUGCUUUUGUACGGAACGAAACGGCUCUGGUUAAUACCCGGGGCUAAUGACGGUACCGUAAGAAUAAGCACCGGCUAACUACGUG